GUGCUUAUUUCAGCAGCACAUACGCUAAAAUUGGAAUGAUACAUAGAAGAUUAACACGGCCCCUGCACAAGAUGACAUGCAAAUCUGUAAAGUUUCCUUAAAAAAA